GAUGAACGCUGGCGGCGUGCCUAAUACAUGCAAGUCGAGCGGACGGACGAGAAGCUUGCUUCGUUGAUGUUAGCGGCGGACGGGAGUGUAACACGUGUAUAACCCACCUAUAAGACUGGUAUAAUUUCGGAAAACCGGAUCUUAUACCGUAUGAUAUUCUGAUCCGUAUGGUUCAUAGGUGAAAUACGGUGUUGCUGGCUCUUAUAGAUGCAUCUGCGCUGCUUUGGCUAGUUGGUAAGGUAAAGGGUUACCAAGGCAAGGAUUCGUAGCCGACGUGAGCGGGUGAUCGCCCACACGGGAACUGAGACACGGUCAAGGAUCCUACGGGAGGCAGCAGUAGGGAACGUUAGGCAAUGGGGGAAAGCCUGACGGAGCAAGGCGGCGUGAGUGAUGAAGGUCUUCGGAUCGUAAAACUCUGUUAUUGGGGAAGAACAUAUGUGUAAGUAAAUGUGGACAGCUUGACGGUACCUAAUCAGAAAGCCACGGCUAACUACGUG
rnacentral:rRNA from 1 species